CCGGCCGCGCCGGGCACCGUGCGGCCCCGCUGGGCCGGGCCUCGGCGGGCGGGAGCUGCGGCUUGCCGGGCUGCCGCCGCCUCGGAUCUCGGUGAACGGCUGAGGGGACGCGUUUGAGGCGGGAAGGCUGCGGGCGCGGUGUAGCUCUCCCCGCGGCCGCUCCUCACGCCCAGAAGCUGGCGCUGCUCUCCCGGUCCCGAGCUGCGGCAGCUCAGCCGCUGCUUUCCGCAGUCUCUGCUCCCAGCCGCGGCUCUCCUCCAGCCAAGUCGGCGGUGACCUACCUACGCUGUGGACAAAGUAGGUCUAGGGAAGACUGCAGCUGCUCUUCCAGUGGAUUGAGUCGUAUCGAUCUUACAGCGGCACGACCUGCAUCCAGCCUCCUCCUGGACACUAAACCUUGUCAGAACUGACCUCGCCAAGCUUCCUCUACGAUCACAAACAGCGAAGUCACCAUUUAAACGGGGAACAGCAGCCUGAGCGAGGCGAGAUCGUUGUGGCCGCAGAAAAGCCGAAUAAACAGGAAUUUGGUGAGGAAAAAAGGUAUAGCGUGGGUGUUCUUGCAGCACCUUCCAAUAACUUUGAGUCCUUCAUCCCACAGCAUCCCUGGACAUGUUUUACAGAGAGCAGCCCUCAGACAAGCAGAAGUGAACGAAUUUGACCUCAGUCGGUUCACAAGCUAGAAUCUGCCCAGGCUGAAGUUGGCGUUUCCACAGAUCCUUCUGCUCCCUCUCUCCUUGCUACACAAAACUGUUCAGCCACUUGUCAGGGUAGCCUAAAGGUUUCAUCUCCAAAGUCCUCUGCAUAGACCUCAUCAUCUGUUGGCAAGGAGUUGUCAAAAACUCCCAGCUCUAACCUUUGGAGGAAGAGGGUAAAAACCACCUUAGGAUGCCUUGGUUCUUUUCCUAUAACAAUAUGCUGAUAUCAUAGAUUCGAUGCAGAGCAAUUGUGUCAAGAACCCCACA